ensembl:lncRNA
AGGGCCCAAGUGAUCUAUAAAUUGGGCAAAGGUUUGGACUGUGUCUCAAGCUCUGGCAGAGAGCCACGAUGCUCUCCAAUACCUCUGUUCCUUUGUCCGUAGACUUUGACAGUCCAGAAGAUUUUUUCGUCUUCACUUUCCAUAUACUGUUUGCAACAAGCUCGGUCCUUGUUGCCGGUUCGGUUGUCAUUGCAAUAUUCAGCACAAAAGUGCUCCGAGCACAGAAUCGCUUCGUUUUCAUGUUAAAUACGAGCAUCGGCGACACCUUCACGGGGCUGUCUGUUUAUUACCUCGGUCUCUUCGAUGUCCAAGAGGGUUACCCUUCAAGAAACGGAACAUAUUAUAUUUUGCCCUCGUUUCUAGGGGUCAACAUGUUAACAUUCCUCUUUGCUCAGUUUGACCGUUACUUUGCCGUGUGCCAUCCUUUCUUUUACAAACGCUAUAUCACUAGAUCUUUUGUAAUUGCAAUCUGUUGUCUUUGCUGGAUUUACACUUAUACUAUUGUGGCGGCACAGAACCUGGUACCAAUCUCAAAAGCGGCUGAAAUAAAUGCUUUUGGUGUCAUGACUCUUCAGAUCAUAGUCCUCACGAAAGUUGCGAUGACUAUUAAGUUAUAUGUUAUAGCAAAGCACCAGUUAGCGCGGGAAGCGCCAAGCGCUGACAGAGAUAGCAAGCGGGAAUCGUUACGCAUCAUUGUUUUUGUUGUAAUAUGUUUCCUGUCAUUGUGGGGCCCGUCUUUCGUCAAUAUUAUUGUAAGACAGCUUACUAGAAGGGGACUACGGUUUAGAAACGAAGCUACAAACUUGUUUGCAAUUAUGGCACGUAUGAAUGCAUUGGUGACUCCUGCGCUGUACAUCUGGGGCAGCCCAGCAUUGCGAGAGGCAGUCUGGGGAACUGUGUGGCGAAGAGUUUGUCCGAAACGGAGAAUUGGAAUGAAACUCAAUGGAAUGAAUCACAAUGGGAUUACGCACACAAACAGAGCAAUGCAUUUAAAUGUAUGAAUCGACACAUUCUGGUCUCGGUCAAUGAAUUGUGGAAUUACUUCCACAAGCUUUUUCCUAUGUGUGGAAAUACAAAAUUGUAUAAAGCUAGGCCUAUACAAAUUAAUAUAUUAACUUUGUAUAUGCAGUUGUUAUUAAGAGCAAAUAUUGAAUAAAACACGUAUGACUAUUCAUGUUGAAAUUAUUUUAAUUGGCAAAAUAAUCAGUCUGAGAUACGAAGGAUCGAUGCUUCAAAUAAUGUCUGAAACCAUGGGCUAAUAGGACUAAUUGAAAAGUUUCAGUAUGGCUAUUUAUAUUUUAAAUGUAUGACA